rnacentral:pre_miRNA from 1 species
AGCAAAGAGAUAUGCCUGCCAGGAAAUACAUGUUGCUCUGGUGAAUUAGCUGACAUGUGUUUCCCUGGUAGCUA